rnacentral:lncRNA from 12 species
CCCAGCUUGAGAUAGCUUGCUAUAUUACUACGCCUGUCAGGGAGAUGGUGAGAAUAACACGAGCAAAAAGGGAGCACAAAGGGGCGGCGGGGCUGGGGCAGGGGCUGGGGCAGGAGCCGGCACUGCCGCUGCUCUGCCCAGCUCCGUGUCGGAGCGCAGCUGAGAGCGCUGCGGCACGGCACACGGGACAGCUUUGGGGUGCCGGGCUUGGGCUCCACCUGCACCUCCGACAGUGCUGGGGCUGCGCUGCUCUGCCCGCCAGCAUCAAUCCAAACCCGCAUCAAUCCAAAACCCGCAUCAAUCCAAACCCGCAUCAAUUCAAACCCGCAUCAAUCCAAACCCGCAUCAUCGGCACCGCUCUGCCCGCCCCGCAUCAAUUCAAACCCCGCAGCACUGGGACAGACACACAGCCCUCUCCUGGGGCCACCAGGGCCCCCUCCUCACCAAGCUUCUCCCCAACAGCAGCUGCCUAGGCAGGGCUGCUGAGCUCUCCUGCACCUUGCACCAGGAUGCAGAGAUGCACCCGCUGCAGGGUCACAUCUCUGGGGAAGGACGAGGUCCUCCAGCCAGGGAAUCUGCCCCACUGGGAUACUGAAAUUUGGGAAUCCUACAUGCAUGAUGAGAGCAUGCUGUGUGGCAGAACCCUGAGCGAGCACCCAGGUAAGUCUGUGGCAGGGCAGCGAGGAGGAACAGCCUCAUCCGUGGGCAGUGAGGCCAUACCUUGCAGCAAUGAGAGGCACUGUAUUGGCCUCCCAUGCCAGUGACUGCUCAGAGGCAUUCCCUGUGGAAAAAUUACCUCCUCACUGACACCUG